AUACGUAGGGUGCGAGCGUUAAUCGGAAUUACUGGGCGUAAAGCGUGCGCAGGCGGCUUUGCAAGACAGAGGUGAAAUCCCCGGGCUCAACCUGGGAACUGCCUUUGUGACUGCAAGGCUAGAGUACGGCAGAGGGGGAUGGAAUUCCGCGUGUAGCAGUGAAAUGCGUAGAUAUGCGGAGGAACACCGAUGGCGAAGGCAAUCCCCUGGGCCUGUACUGACGCUCAUGCACGAAAGCGUGGGGAGCAAACAGGAUUAGAUACCCUGGUAGUCCACGCCCUAAACGAUGUCAACUGGUUGUUGGACGGCUUGCUGUUCAGUAACGAAGCUAACGCGUGAAGUUGACCGCCUGGGGAGUACGGCCGCAAGGUUGAA
rnacentral:rRNA from 1 species